CGUCUUCUCCUCCUCUUCUGUGCUUACCUUUUUGUUUUUAUUUUCUUUCCUCUUCGGCUCACUUCACGUACACAGCCGAUCAUGAUCUUUUGACUUCUCCUUUAUGUUUGCAUUUUUGUUUUUAAUUUUCUUUCUUCUUCAUCUCACUUCACUCACACACACAGCCGGCAGAGAGAGAGAGAGAGUUGGCCUUCGUCUAUCUUUGUUUUCUGAUGAGAAGAGAGUUUUUUCUGAUGAGAAGUGAAAGAGAGAGCAUGGAAGAAAGAGAAAAAAUUUAUUUUUUAUUCAACCAGAUGAUUAUUUUAAUAGAUAAAAUUUUUUGAAGGUGUUACAGUAAAUACUACAGUGUUCUCUAUUUCAAGAGAGGUACUGUAGUAAUUCUAUUCCAAAAUAUAUAGAGAUAGAGAAGCUGUUGGAGUGAAUUUCUGGUUUGUUUGCUCUCCAAAAUUGGCUUUAGAGCCUAUUGGAGAUGCUCUGAAUCUUCUGCUCCCCUCUCUCUUUGCAGUAAAAGAAAAAAAGAUUGCAUUUAGAUAGGAGAACUGCUGAUCUUUGUUGUCUUCUUGGCGUUAUUUUAAGCGUUAUAUCUCCACUGUAAUCAGUAUCUUUGAAGGAAUAUCGGGUGCUCAAGCCCAGUACAUUACCGUUUCUAUCCAGGUACUUGCCAAUGGAGAUAUUAGGCUCAUUUCUUGAGCUUGGGAAAAUAAUAUUGGCUCCGAUUAUUGAAUAUUAUAAUCAUUACAGAGGUGCUGAUGAACAUUUGAAAAAUCUAAAGAGAAAACGAGAUGAUUUAGAAUGCAAAAAGUCAGACAUAGAAUUAGAAAUGAGGGCAGAACUUGUUCCAGGAAAGAAACCAAAAAGAGAAGUUAAAUCUUGGCUCCAAAAGGUAGAAACGAUUAAUGAGGAGAUACAAAAGAUUGAGCAAGAGGCUAUCAGAGGGAAGUAUCUCUCACGUAUGCACUUUGGAAGAGUUGCUUGCGAGAAGAUACUAGAGGUGACAGAAUUAAUUGAUCAAAGUUGUGGUUUCGGUGAUUGUUUGGUAAUUGGUCCACCUGUAAGGAAUGGAGAUGAAUUGCCAACAAGAGCAUUAGUGGGAGAGAGUACAGCCAAAAGAACAUUGGAAAAGAUUUGGGAACACUUGUUAGAUGAAGAUUUUAGAAUAAUUGGUGUUUAUGGUAUGGGAGGAAUUGGUAAAACAACUGUGAUGAAAGAAAUCAAUAAUCGCCUAUUAAAAGAGAGAGACGAGUUCAAUUGUGUAAUUUGGGUUACCGUAUCAAAAGCAUUCAAUGUUAUCAAACUACAAAAUGACAUUGCAUGCCAUUUGAAUCUAGAGAAUGAACUCUCAAAGUUCAAGGAUGAAACAACGAGGGCAGGGAAGUUGUAUGCAGAAUUGAAAAAAAGGAAGAGGUAUGUGCUAAUCCUAGAUGAUAUGUGGAAAGCAUUUCCUUUGGAAAUUGUAGGGAUCCCAGAGCCUACUUCAGCAAAUGGUUGCAAAUUGGUAUUGACGACUAGAGAUGUUAAUGUUUGUAAUGGAAUGAAUUGUGUAAAUAUUAAAAUGGAGCUUCUUUCAAUAAAAGAGUCAUGGGAUUUGUUUUUGAAAACAGUGGGCUGUGAUGUUUCGAAUAUUCCAAAAGAUGUUGUGGAAGGAGUUGUCAAAGAAUGUGCCCAUUUGCCUCUUGCAAUCAUCACUGUAGCAGGAAGUUUGAAAAAUGUAGUCGAUAUUUCAGAGUGGAGGAACACAUUGAAUGAGUUGAAGACACCAGUGAAGGGUCUCGAACAUGUAGAUGUAGUAUUUCAGAAGCUUCAACUUAGUUAUAAACGCUUAAACGAUAAGAAACUCCAACGUUGUCUCUUGUUUUGUGCACUAUACCCUGAAGACUAUGAGAUUUAUAGAGACAAUUUGAUAGUGCAUUUGAUUGAUGAGGGAGUAAUAAAAAGCAUGAGUAAAAGGCAAGCAAUGCUGGAUAAGGGCCAUACUAUGUUGAAUAAACUUGAAAAUGCCUGCUUAUUAGAAGGUGGGUCCCAUGAUGAGUUUAUUGAAAAAGAGUAUUUUGUGAAGAUGCACGAUCUAAUAAGAGACAUGGCCCUUCAGAUUGCAGGUCCCAAGUUCAUGGUAUCAGAAGAUGUUCCUGAUGAAGAAGAAUGGGGAAAGGAUGUUGAAAAGGUUUCUUUGUUAAGCAACCGUGAAUCAGAGUUUCCUUAUAUAUCACCAAAGUGUCCUAAGCUUUCGACCUUGCUUCUACAAGGAUAUGCAACCAUCCCAGAUUCAUUUUUUGUGCAUUUGCAUGGACUCAAAGUUCUUCAUGUAUUUGGUGGUAGGAUUAAAUCUUUGCCGAAUUCGAUCUCUGACUUGGAGAAUCUUACUUCAUUAAGAAUUUACCGUUGUUUUGAUUUAAAGCGUGUGCCUUCAUUAGCAAAGCUUACAGCAUUAAAGAGCUUGGAUCUUUUGGAAUCUGCAACGAAAGAAAUACCUCAUGGUUUGGAAAAGUUGAUCAAUUUGAGAUACCUCAGUCUUCGUGCAUACAAUCAAGAGAUGCCACCUGGGAUUUUACCCAAACUCUCUCAACUCCAGGUUCUCAAACUUAAUUGUGGGUCAAAUUCUUUAACAGUGAAUGGAGAGGAGAUAGUAAGGUUGAAGAAAUUAGAUUUUUUUAAAGGCAAAUUUUGUGGCUUGAAUGACUUCAACACAUAUCUUGAAUCCUUAGAGGGAGGACCUAGCCAUUACGUGUAUUGCGCGAGAAAAACAAAGCCAGCUAGCGAGUUGGGUGAAACUGUAAAACUGCUCCCAAAGGACGUUCAGGCCCUAGCAGUUUUCGGAGGUCAGAAUUUAAGAUUUUUUUACAAAUGCAUGAAGUCCGUUUGUAUCAGGGAGUGUGAAGAAAUAGAAGAAGUUUUUUCUUAUUCUUUCACCUUUCCUCUUCAAAGCCUUGAGAUUGUACAACUCGUAAAAUUGGAUAAGUUACUGGUACUAUUUAGGGAAGAGAAAGUCACAGCAGCACCAAUGGUCCCACCUGGCACCUUUUCCCGUCUCAAAGAAUUUACAAUAUGUGAGUGUCCGAAUAUAAGGCAGCUCUUUGCGCUUGGGGUGCUCCUAAACCUGGCCAACCUGGAACAGAUUACUGUCUUUCGGUGUCUGCAAUUAGAGGAAAUAAUAGCUAGGCCUAAAGCAUCUGAUGAAGUUGACGAAGAAGAAGCAAAAGAAAUUGUAGAAAUAUUCCCCCGAUUGAGGAGAUUGACAUUAGUGAUUUCACCGGAGCUGAAUACCAUAUGCAGUAGCAGUAAUGUAAUACUUUGUGAUUCUCUUGAUUCUAUUGAGAUAGAAGAGUGCCCGAAGCUUAAGAGACUACCUCUUUCUCUACGCCGUAUCAAUGGACAACUAUCUUCUCCGCCUUCUUCAUUACAAAUCAAAAUAGAGAAAGAAAGGUGGGAAUUGCUGGAAUGGGACAAUCAUGAUAUGAAGAUGGUCCUUGAACCUUGUUGUGAGUUCUUAUUUUAAGGCAGUGAAAUCUCAAUGUGGGUGAGAGCAGUUUAACAUGACUCUUCUUCUGGAAGUGAGAGCUCCUUCAGCUUGUCUCAGAUGGCUCUUCAACUCUCAACUCUUCUACGGGGAAUGAGAAUGAAAUCAAGCAUGAUGGCUCUAAAUAUGGUAUCCAUAAUUCAGUUGGUACUCCAUGGGCUUGUUUGAUGAGGACUUUUUAGGUUAAAUCUUAAACUUACAGAGCAAGGGUCUCUUUGUUCCCGAGUGGUGCCAUGUGUGUAAACAUAGAGGGGAGGACAUGAACCACUUAUUUCUUCAUUGUGACAUGGUGAGGGAUAUGUGGUUUCCUGGUUGUUUCUUGGGUGAUGC